rnacentral:rRNA from 1 species
GAUAAACGCUGGCGGCGUGCAUGAGACAUGCCAGUCGAACGAACGAGCUUGCUCGUUAGUGGCGGACGGCUGAGUAACGCGUGGGUGACCUGCCCCGAAGUGGGGGAUAACUGCCCGAAAGGGUGGCUAAUACCGCAUGUGGCGACACUUGCAUUGGUGUCAUCAAAGCCGCCAGGCGCUUCGGGAGGGGCCUGCGUCCGAUUAGCUCGUUGGUGGGGUAAUGGCUCACCAAGGCGACGAUCGGUAGGUGGUCUGAGAGGACGAUAACCCAGACUGGGACUGAGACACGGCCCAGACUCCUACGGGAGGCAGCAGUCGGGAAUUUUGCUCAAUGGGCGCAAGCCUGAAGCAGCAACGCCGCGUGCGGGAUGAAGGCCUUCGGGUUGUAAACCGCUUUUGUCAGGGACGAUGAUGACGGUACCUGACGAAUAAGUCACGGCUAACUACGUGCCAGCCGCCGCUGUAACAC